CAGACCUGAAAUCAGGCGAGGUUACCCGCUGAACUUAAGCAUAUUAUUAAGCGGAGGAGAAGAAAUAACUAUGAUUCCCUUAGUAACGGCGAGUGAACCGGGAUCAGCUCAAAGUGGAAAUCAACUGCUCUUUCCGAGCUGUUGACUUGUAGCCUCGAGAGGCGUUACCAGUGGAAGCGCAGGGUUAAGUUUCUUGGGAAAGAACAUCAUAGAGGGUGAGAAUCCCGUCCUUCCCCUGCGUUUUUUGUUCCACGUACGGUACGCUUUUAUAGAGUCGCGUUCAUCGGGAUUUGAGCGCAAAAUGUGUGGUAGGUUUCACAUAAAGCUAAGUACUGGCGCGAGACCGAUAGCAAACAAGUACCGUGAGGGAAAGAUGAAAAGUUCUUUGGAAAGAGAGUUAAAAGUGCCUGAAAUUGCUGAAAAGGAAGCGAUUGGGACCUUUUUGAUUCCAAGAAGUGCCGCCGGUUUGCCAUCUAUCCCUUUGCCUUCUCUCUCUCACCAGGUUUAGGCUUUGGUUUCUUGAUGUAUUUCCGGUUCAUCUUUUUGGAGAGGUCAGCAUCAGCUACUCGGAAUUGAUUUCGUUCAAAGAAGGUAGGUUCCUUGUGGACCGUUAUAUCUUUGUUCUUUCCUUUUCCUUGUGGCUGAGGAGUGUUCCUGUUUCCGAGCUCCACUUUCGAGUACUCGGUU